rnacentral:tRNA from 1 species
GGUCACGUAGCUCAGUUGGAUAGAGCGACAGUUUCCGGAACUGUAGGCCGUGGGUUCGAAUCCUACCGUGACCA